rnacentral:rRNA from 1 species
AAUCUUCCACAAUGGGCGAAAGCCUGAUGGAGCAACGCCGCGUGAGUGUAGAAGGUUUUCGGAACGUAAAACUCUGUUGUAAGGGAAGAACAAGUACCGUAGUAACUGGCUGUACCUUAACGGUACCUGAUUAGACAGCCACGGCUAACUAUGUGCCAGCAGCCGCGGUAAUACGUAGGUGGCAAGCGUUGUCCGGAAUUAUUGGGCGUAAAGCGCGCGCAGGCGGUCCUUUAAGUCUGAUGGGAAAGCCCACGGCUCAACCGGGGAGGGUCAUUGGAAACUGGGGGACUUGAGUGCAGAAGAGGAAAGUGGAAUUCCAAGUGUAGCGGUGAAAUGCGUAGAGAUUUGGAGGAACACCAGUGGCGAAGGCGACUUUCUGGUCUGUAACUGACGCUGAGGCGCGAAAGCGUGGGGAGCAAACAGG